GGGUCAGUAGGUUGGUCGUGCCACUGGUAUGCACUGGCCUUACUGAUUCCUCCUUCUUGAAGAACUGUGAUGUCAUUUACUUGGUGUUGCAGGGAAACAGGACUGUUACUUUGAAAAAAUUAGAGUGUUUAAAGCAGGCUAACGCUUGAAUACAUUAGCAUGGAAUAAUGAAAUAGGACCUUGGUCCCAUUUUGUUGGUUUCUCGGACCACGGUA
rnacentral:rRNA from 1 species